UAAACAUUAGGCCUACAGUGUUGUGACUUGUGAUAUUAUUCGUUGAACUUGGUUUCCAUGGACAAACAGUGAAAGACUUCGUUACCAGACUUCGUGUGUUAUGGUACACGUGGAUCAUGAUUUGCGGCUGAAAUGCUUCUUGUGCCCUGGUAUCAAGUCUUUCGAAGUUGUCUACGACGUGUUCAGGAAGAGGAACUGCAAAGACAUCACUUGGCGAAGAUAGCGUCCAGGAAUCUUUAUUGCUGUUUGGUACUGGACCCAGGAUCAUGAAACAAACUUGGACGUAAGGCAAAUUUUCAAUGAACUAUAAAAUAUUUAUGAAAUAUUGAAUUUAUUUCUAAAUAUCUAGAUUACAACACAUCUGGCAAUAUUGAAAACUAUUUUAAUGUUAAUCCAACCGUUAGUUUCG